GCACCGAUAGUCUAGUGGUAUGACAUGGGCCUUCCAAGCCCAUGACCCGGGUUCAAAUCCCGGUCGGUGCA
rnacentral:tRNA from 3 species